UCUGGGCUGCCAGGAUGGUGGAUGGA
rnacentral:piRNA from 1 species